UAUGGCUACACCACAUUGAAACACCUGUUCACCUACGAUCACCGAAGUUAAGUUACGUCGAGCAUAGCUAGUACCUAGAUGGGGGACCGCUUGGGAAUACCAGGUGCUGUAAG